CAGGCGCGCAAAUUACCCAAUCCUGACAUGGGGAGGUAGUGACAAUAAAUAACAAUACUGGGCUCAUCGAGUCUGGUAAUUGGAAUGAGUACAAUCUAAAUCCCCUAAAGAGGAUCCAUUGGAGGGCAAGUCCGGUGCCAGCAGCCUCGGUAAUUCCAGCUCCAAUAGCGUAUAUUUAAGUUGUGGCAGUUAAAAAGCUCGUAGUUGGAUCUUGGGUCAUAAAGGUCGUUCCGCCUACUCGGUGUGCACCUGCCCUUCCAUCCCUUUUGUCGGCGGUGUGCUCCUGGCCUUAAUUGGCUGGGUCGCGGUUCCGGCGUUGUGACUUUGAAAAAAUUAGAGUUCUCAAAGAAAGCUUAUGCUCUGAAUACAUUAGCAUGGAAUAACACAAUAGGAUUCUGGUCCUAUUGUGUUGGCCUUCGGGACUGGAGUAAUGAUUAAUAGGGACUGUCGGGGGCAUUCGUAUUUCAUUGUCAGAGGUGAAAUUCUUGGAUUUAUGAAAGAUGAACCACUACGAAAGAAUUUGCCAAGGAUUUUUUCAUUAAUCAAGAACGAAAGUUGGGGGCUCGAAGACGAUCAGAUACCGUCCUAGUCUCAACCAUAAAUGAUGCUGACCAGGGAUCGGCAGAUGUUGUUCUAAGGACUCCGCCAGCACCUUCUGAGAAAUCAGAGUGUUUGGGUUCCGGGGGGAGUAUGGUCGCAAGGCUGAAACUUAAAGGAAUUGACGGAAGGGCA
rnacentral:ncRNA from 1 species